UGGCACCUGUUCCAAAGAAUACUGCAAAUGUGAUAACAGGUAGUGGAAAUCUACAACUCCUAUGCACAAGUACACAUCCACUCUCAGAUAAAUCACUUGUAAAUUCACACUCUCCCAUCCUUAAAUUCACACUAAAUUAAGCAGGAAUGAACUCUCCAUGGUGUCUAGGUAUAAUAUCACAAUGCUUCAACAAGUCUUUUUCAUUUUAUAAGCUGACUUCGGAUAUUCCUAAAGGGUUUAUAACGGUGAAACAACCAUAAUGUAUAUUUGUCAUGCUCUGCAUAGCUCUGGAUUAAUAUCGUAAUAAACAUCCACCAUACUGUGUUUCUGUCAUCUAUCAGACUGCCAGCUUCAUAAGAGGCUCGACUGUCCAUAGUCUGCCAGUGUUUAGUACUUUUAUAUCAGCAUUUCAAAUCAUAAUAGUGAAGUUAUUAGCACAAAGCCAGAAGGAGGACCAGAUUACUGUGUUAACACUAUCACCAGUCUUCUUACAGCUAAGGGACUCCCCGUGUAGUUGCUGCUGUGGAAUACGUGCCAAAGCUUAGCGCGAUCACUUAAUAAUGCAUGCAUCCCUACCUAGCUCUAACUUUAUUAGCAGUAAUAAAUCAAUGAGGUGCAAGGGCAAAUAUCUUAAUGCAGUGCCUCUACCAUAGCACAUGAUGUACAUGCUACUUUACAUGCGUCUGGGAUGGAUAACCAAACCAGUUUAAUUGGACAGUUUAACCGCCCUCCUUUAAUCAAAUAGCAAAAUAGAAGCACAUUUGCGGAUUGCUUGCAGGAAUGGCAAGUUCUGGAAGAUCAACGCUUAGAGCAUAGCUACUCGUUCGAAAGGAUUAUAUAGUGCAAAGCUUUUGAUUAAUUUAUGUAAAUCACCACAGUAACCACCUGGUCUCAACGCCCUACAAAUGCCACCUGUACUUAAAGAAUGCGUGGAAGUUCCAUACUCCAACAGAGCAGAUCGUGGGAUACUGAACUCGUCAGCACCGUGUUAACGUCUUAGUUUGUUCAGUGGGAACACUGCAGAUCGCUCUCUGAAUUCAUGCUGAGCCCUUACCGAUGUGAAUGAUGGAGUCCUCCCGCAAUGAAACGCACCGCAAUAUCCAAGAGAAAAGGCAAAUGAUCAGCACUUCCAUUUCCAUCUUGUCAGACAGCUCAUGAACCUGAAAUGUGCAAAGCACAGGUGCAGCGACUGAAGAGCAAGGUGCAAGUAUUCCCUAGGAUGAGAGUGAGUGCUGUGGAGGGCGAUUAAUGCUGAGCUCUGAGCCACUCUAUGAGGCACCAAGAGUAAGGAGACAGAAGCAGCUCCAGGUUCUCCCCGUCGACGGCAGCAGCAGCAGCAGUAGCAGCAUGUACCGUUCACUGGCGCUCGCGGGCACUUCGCUAGCGUUUGCCAGAGCACGAGCUUGAAACAGAAAGCGAGCUGCUGGCGAGGUCCGCGCGCACCCGCCUGCUCGCGCCGGCCCGUCGGUUCUCCUGCCCCCGCAAGGCAGCCGGCCUGCCUUCCAGAGUAGUCCACGUCACUGCAGAGCCCCGCCAGAGCACCCCACAACCUGCCCUGAGAAAAGAGCCAGUCGGAGAUGGAGGUAAGCACAGAUCAUAAUGAAAGAAAGCUCAACAUCCUAAGAAGGCAGAGCAUGCAUCAUUUCCUUCCCCGAAACACCUCUCCAUCACUUAUAUUAAACUUUAAAACGGAUUUUAUUACUGUAAGAGCUGAUCCAUCAGAGAAGAUCGAGAAGUCUGCAAUCAAUGCUCGUCUUGGCACUGGCAACUAAGAGGUUAGUUGUGUGCCAUAGGAAUAAACUGCAAGGAAUACAUACCAACAUCAUUUCAAUAAUUAAAGCAGCAUCGAUUCUUCUGUAUGGUAUGAAAUGGUAUUAAACACAAAGACACGUUUUUUUGUAAUUAACGUAUGAAGUUGUACAUCUGAUAUGAGAAAGUUUAGAAUUAUGUUAAAAUUGUUACUGUUUCAUUAAUGAUAAUGCUUUCCUGAAAACGGAAAAAUGUAAUCCAGGCAAAGACACCAAACUCUACACGGAAAAUACGUUUUUUUAGUCUAUCAUUGGCCCGCGCAAAAUAAAGGAAAUAAGUCUUGUUAUUUGCUGGGUUGCCAGUGUUAUAUUUGCAUAGAAUAUUUUGCUAAAAAUAAAACCAGUGGACAGA